AAAGGAUCCCUAUAUACAUCGGAAGAUGCGGGUUGAGGAGAAGUCAUCUAUGGAGAUACAACCAACCAAUCAAUCAGUAUGGAUGAAUAUUGUUCAAGUGGUUUUCCAAUAAAAAUUACAUUCUGAGAAGGCUACAGAAGCAGACGAAGCCGUCAGAGCUUCCUUGCCUACCCCAUGGAAACUGCCUGAGAGCUUGAGUGUUCUGAUCUCUUUCAAUAAACUUGUUU